UCUCAACUCUCCUCUGAGUUUGUUAGCCUUUUAAGCUGUCUCCUCACCAAUGACUGAAACGAGAUGCAGGUGAUCUUAAUCUCCAAUCGACCUACUUGCCACAAAAACAUUUGAAAAGUGGACACGGAUGUAUUUCCUGAACUUGUUGCUGAAAGGGGCAUGUGCUUUUGUUUACAUACCAUUGAUGAUUUCACUCCUGCACAUGAGUGUUCCCCUGUUCUGACUGACAGGAAGUCUGUCAGCAAGUCUUCAACCUCAACUGAAUGCAAUGACGGCAACAAAACUGCUUCCUGCCCUUCCAAAAGACCCAGGUUGGAUAAUUCUCUAGCUAUAGACCCCAUUAACUGCCAUAGUGGGAAACAUGACAAUGUAAGUGAAAAGUGCCCCAGAAAUAUUUACUGUCUUUAAAAGUAUCUUAUUUUUUAUUCAACCGAAAAAAAAAAAAUUCUACUAUGGUAGUCAAUGGGGACCAGUAACUGUUACUUUUUUUCUUCCAAAUAUCUUUCUGUGUGUAUCAGACAAAGAGAAUUAAACAGAUUGUUUAGUAAAUGAUGACCGUUGUCAUAAUAUUCAGGUCCUUAAAGAAAAAAAGUGAUGGUG